rnacentral:tRNA from 1 species
UAGCUCGGUUGGUAGAGAAUCUGCCUGCAAUGCAGGAGACCUGGGUUCAAUUCCUGG